rnacentral:rRNA from 1 species
AGAGUUUGAUCCUGGCUCAGGAUGAACGCUGGCGGCGUGCUUAACACAUGCAAGUCGAACGAUCCUUCGGGAUAGUGGCGGACGGGUGAGUAACGCGUGGGAAUCUGCCCUCAGGAGGGGGAUAACGGCUGGAAACGGCCGCUAAUACCCCAUAUGCCGAGAGGUGAAAUGAAUUUCGCCUGAGGAUGAGCCCGCGUCUGAUUAGCUAGUUGGUGGGGUAAAGGCCUACCAAGGCAACGAUCAGUAGCUGGUCUGAGAGGAUGAUCAGCCACACUGGGACUGAGACACGGCCCAGACUCCUACGGGAGGCAGCAGUGGGGAAUUUUCCGCAAUGGGCGAAAGCCUGACGGAGCAACGCCGCGUGAGGGAUGAAGGCCUCUGGGCUGUAAACCUCUUUUCUCAAGGAAGAAGACCUGACGGUACUUGAGGAAUAAGCCACGGCUAAUUCCGUGCCAGCAGCCGCGGUAAUACGGGAGUGGCAAGCGUUAUCCGGAAUUAUUGGGCGCAAAGCGUCCGCAGGCGGCCUUGUAAGUCUGUUGUUAAAGCGUGGAGCUCAACUCCAUUUAAGCAAUGGAAACUACAAGGCUGGAGUGUGGUAGGGGCAGAGGGAAUUCCCGGUGUAGCGGUGAAAUGCGUAGAUAUCGGGAAGAACACCAGUGGCGAAGGCGCUCUGCUGGGCCAUAACUGACGCUCAUGGACGAAAGCCAGGGGAGCGAAAGGGAUUAGAUACCCCUGUAGUCCUGGCCGUAAACGAUGAACACUAGGUGUCGGGGGAAUCGACCCCUUCGGUGUCGUAGCAACGCGUUAAGUGUUCCGCCUGGGGAGUACGCACGCAAGUGUGAAACUCAAAGGAAUUGACGGGGGCCCGCACAAGCGGUGGAGUAUGUGGUUUAAUUCGAUGCAACGCGAAGAACCUUACCAGGGUUUGACAUCCUGCGAACCCCUGAGAAAUCGGGGGGUGCCUUCGGGAGCGCAGAGACAGGUGGUGCAUGGCUGUCGUCAGCUCGUGUCGUGAGAUGUUGGGUUAAGUCCCGCAACGAGCGCAACCCACGUCUUUAGUUGCCAGCAUUCAGUUGGGCACUCUAGAGAGACCGCCGGUGAUAAACCGGAGGAAGGUGUGGAUGACGUCAAGUCAUCAUGCCCCUUACAUCCUGGGCUACACACGUACUACAAUGCUACGGACAAAGGGCAGCAAGCUCGCGAGAGUUAGCAAAUCCCAUAAACCGUGGCUCAGUUCAGAUCGUAGGCUGCAACUCGCCUACGUGAAGGAGGAAUCGCUAGUAAUCGCAGGUCAGCAUACUGCGGUGAAUACGUUCCCGGGCCUUGUACACACCGCCCGUCACACCAUGGAAGUUGGCCAUGCCCGAAGUCGUUACUCCAACCCUUGUGGAGGAGGACGCCGAAU